rnacentral:rRNA from 1 species
UAGCCCAGUCAUAUAACCCUGCAGCCCAAGACUGGCUACUCACUGAAGCUAAGCAGGGCUGAGCCUGGUCAAUAUGGUAGUAUGGGAGACCAUAUAUGAAAGCUAGGUUGCUGUUGUAA